AUUGAACGCUGGCGGCAUGCUUUACACAUGCAAGUCGAACGGUAACAGGCCGCAGGGUGCUGACGAGUGGCGAACGGGUGAGUAAUGCAUCGGAACGUGCCCAGUCGUGGGGGAUAACGCAGCGAAAGCUGCGCUAAUACCGCAUACGAUCUAUGGAUGAAAGCGGGGGACCGUAAGGCCUCGCGCGAUUGGAGCGGCCGAUGUCAGAUUAGGUAGUUGGUGGGGUAAAGGCUCACCAAGCCAACGAUCGGUAGCUGGUCUGAGAGGAAGACCAGCCACACUGGGACUGAGACACGGCCCAGACUCCUACGGGAGGCAGCAGUGGGGAAUUUUGGACAAUGGGGGCAACCCUGAUCCAGCAAUGCCGCGUGCAGGAAGAAGGCCUUCGGGUUGUAAACUGCUUUUGUACGGAACGAAACGGCUCUGGUUAAUACCUGGGGCUAAUGACGGUACCGUAAGAAUAAGCACCGGCUAACUACGUGCCAGCAGCCGCAGUAACAC
rnacentral:rRNA from 1 species